GGCCCUGUGGCGCAACGGCAGCGCGUUCCACUCCAGAUGGAAAGGUUAUCCGUUCAAAUCGGGUCGGGGUCA